UACGUAGGUGGCAAGCGUUGUCCGGAUUUACUGGGUGUAAAGGGCGUGUAGCCGGGAAGGCAAGUCAGAUGUGAAAUCCACGGGCUCAACUCGUGAACUGCAUUUGAAACUGUUUUUCUUGAGUAUUGGAGAGGCAAUCGGAAUUCCUAGUGUAGCGGUGAAAUGCGUAGAUAUUAGGAGGAACACCAGUGGCGAAGGCGGAUUGCUGGACGACAACUGACGGUGAGGCGCGAAAGCGUGGGGAGCAAACAGG
rnacentral:rRNA from 1 species